GCAUCUGUAGCCCAGUGGUUAGGGUAUCGCCUUCCCAGACAUCUGUGAGGCGGGGGUCGCGAGUUCGAACCUUGCCAGAUGCA